UACGUAGGGGGCAAGCGUUGUCCGGAUUUAUUGGGCGCAAAGAGUGUGUAGGCGGCCAUGUAGGUCCGUUGUGAAAACUCGAGGCUCAACCUCGAGACGCCGAUGGAAACCAUGUGGCUAGAGUCCGGAAGAGGAGAGUGGAAUUCCUGGUGUAGCGGUGAAAUGCGCAGAUAUCAGGAAGAACACCCGUGGCUAAGGCGGCUCUCUAGUACGGUACUGACGCUGAGACGCGAAAGCGUGGGGAGCGAACAGG
rnacentral:rRNA from 1 species